GCAGCCGCGGUAAUUCCAGCUCCAAUAGCGUAUAUUAAAGUUGUUGCAGUUAAAAAGCUCGUAGUUGAAUUUCGGGGUUAGUAGGUUGGUCGUGCCACUGGUAUGUACUGGUUCUACUGAUCCCUCCUUCUUGUAGAACCGUAAUGCCAUUAAUUUGGUGUUGCGGGGAAACAGGACUGUUACUUUGAAAAAAUUAGAGUGUUUAAAGCAGGCUAACGCUUGAAUACAUUAGCAUGGAAUAAUGAAAUAGGACGAUCGAUCCUAUUUUGUUGGUUUCUAGGAUUGACGUAAUGAUUAAUAGGGAUAGUUGGG
rnacentral:rRNA from 1 species